UGGGGAAUAUUGCACAAUGGGCGCAAGCCUGAUGCAGCAACGCCGCGUGAACGAUGAAGGUCUUCGGAUCGUAAAGUUCUGUUGCAGGGGAAGAUAAUGACGCUACCCUGUGAGGAAGCCCCGGCUAACUACGUGCCAGCAGCCGCGGUAAUACGUAGGGGGCUAGCGUUAUCCGGAUUUACUGGGCGUAAAGGGUGCGUAGGUGGUCUUUCAAGUCGGUGGUUAAAGGCUACGGCUCAACCGUAGUUAGCCUCCGAAACUGGAAGACUUGAGUGCAGGAGAGGAAAGUGGAAUUCCCAGUGUAGCGGUGAAAUGCGUAGAUAUUGGGAGGAACACCAGUAGCGAAGGCGGCUUUCUGGACUGCAACUGACACUGAGGCACGAAAGCGUGGGUAGCAAACAGG
rnacentral:rRNA from 1 species